GAUGAAGAACGCAGCGAAAUGCGAUAAGUAAUGCGAAUUGCAGAAUUCAGUGAAUCAUCGAAUCUUUGAACGCACAUUGCGCCCGCCAGUAUUCUGGCGAGCAUGCCUGUUCGAGCGUCAUUUCAACCAUCAAGCCCCAGGCUUGUGUUGGAGCCCUGCGGCUGCCGCAGCCUCCCAAAACCAGUGGCGGGCUCGCUAUCACACCGAGUGCAGUAGUUUACUCUUCGCUCAGGGCGUGUGGCGGGUGCUAGCCGUGAAACCCCCAACUUCUCAAGGUUGACCUCGGAUCAGGUAGGAAUACCCGCUGAACUUAAGCAUAUCAAUAAGCGGAGGA
rnacentral:misc_RNA from 1 species